GUCGAGAAUUUUUCACAAUGGGGGAAACCCUGAUGGAGCGACGCCGCGUGGGGGAUGAAUGGCUUCGGCCCGUAAACCCCUGUCAUUUGCGAUCAACCGUUAUUAUUUAAAAGAUGAUGACCUGAUAGUAGCGAAAGAGGAAGGGACGGCUAACUCUGUGCCAGCAGCCGCGGUAAUACAGAGGUCCCGAGCGUUGUUCGGAUUCACUGGGCGUAAAGGGUGCGUAGGUGGUGAGGUGUGUCGGAUGUGAAAUCUCGGAGCUCAACUCCGAAACUGCAUUGGAAACUACCUUGCUGGAGGGUUGGAGGGGGGACUGGAAUACUUGGUGUAGCAGUGAAAUGCGUAGAUAUCAAGUGGAACACCAGUGGCGAAGGCGAGUCCCUGGACAACUCCUGACACUGAGGCACGAAAGCUAGGGGAGCAAACAGGAUUAGAUACCCCAGUAGUCC
rnacentral:rRNA from 1 species